rnacentral:tRNA from 1 species
ACCUGGGUGGCUCAGUUGGUUAAGCAUCUGAUUUCAGCUCAGUUCAUGAUCUCGGAGUCCUGGGAUCGAGCCCCAUCUCAGGCU